rnacentral:rRNA from 1 species
GACGUAGGGCGCGAGCGUUGUCCGGAUUUAUUGGGCGUAAAGAGCUCGUAGGCGGCUCGUUGCGUCGGCUGUGAAAACCCGCAGCUCAACUGUGGGCUUGCAGCCGAUACGGGCGGGCUGGGAUUCGGUAGGGGAGACUGUAAUUCCUGGUGUAGCGGUGAAAUGCGCAGAUAUCAGGAGGAACACCGGUGGCGAAGGCGGGUCUCUGGGCCGAUAUCGACGCUGAGGAGCGAAAGCGUGGGGAGCGAACAGG